GCCGGGCGCGGAGUUCGCGCCUGUCAUCCCAGCGAUUCGGGAGGCUGAGGCAGGAGGAUCGCAAGUUGGAGGCCAGCCUCAGCCACUUGGGGAGGCCCUGUCUCAAAAUAAAAUUUAAAAAGGCUGGAGAUGGGCUCAGUGGCACCAGGGGUUGAACCCAGGAGCCCUUAACCACCAAGCCCCACCCCCAGCCCUUUUAAUAUUUAUUUAGAGACAGGGUCUCACCGAGUUGCUUAGCACCUUGCUUUGGCUGAGGCUGGCCUCCAAGUUGUGAUCCUCCUGCCUCAG
rnacentral:sRNA from 1 species